rnacentral:pre_miRNA from 1 species
GUGGUACUCCCUCCGUCCGGAAAUACUUGUCAUCAAAAUGGAUAAAAGGAGAUGUAUCUAGACGUAUUUUAGUUCUAGAUACAUCCCUUUUCAUUCAUUUUGAUGACAAGUAUUUUCGGACGGAGGGAGUAUGUC